rnacentral:rRNA from 1 species
GACGAACGCUGGCGGCGUGCUUAACACAUGCAAGUCGAACGGAAAGGCUCCAGCUUGCUGGAGUACUCGAGUGGCGAACGGGUGAGUAACACGUGGGUAAUCUGCCCUGCACUCUGGGAUAAGCCUGGGAAACUGGGUCUACUACUGGAUAUGACCUUUCUCCUUAUGGGGUUUGGUGGAGAGUUUUUCGGUGUAGGAUGAGCCCGCGGCCUAUCAGCUUGUUGGUGGGGUGAUGGCCUACCAAGGCGACGACGGGUAGCCGGCCUGAGAGGGUGAUCGGCCACAUUGGGACUGAGAUACGGCCCAGACUCCUACGGGAGGCAGCAGUGGGGAAUAUUGCACAAUGGGCGGAAGCCUGAUGCAGCGACGCCGCGUGAGGGAUGACGGCCUUCGGGUUGUAAACCUCUUUCAGCAGGGACGAAGCGUAAGUGACGGUACCUGCAGAAGAAGCACCGGCUAACUAUGUG